rnacentral:lncRNA from 1 species
UAUGGUCAUAAACCUUGUGUUUAAAUUUCAUAGAUUUCUAUUUACUUAUACUAACGUUAUGGUGCGAAAACCAAGAAAAAUGCUUAUUUGGGUCCCUUUUUGGCCCCUAAUUCCUAAACUGUUGGGACCUAAACUCCCAAAAUCAAUACCAACCUUCCUUUUGUAGUCAUUAACAUUGUGUUUAAAUUUCAUUGAUUUCUAUUCACUUAAACUAAUGUUAUUGUGCGAAAACCAAGAAUAAUGCUUAUUUGGGCCCUUUUUUGGCCCCUAAUUCCUAAACUGUUGAGACCAAAACUCCAAAAUCAAUCCCAACCGUUCUUUUGUGGUCAUAAACCUUGUGUCAAAAUUUCAUAGAUUUCUAUUAACUUAAACUAAAG